UUUAAAUAUGAAGGAACUAAACUUAGUUUAUGCUCUGUGGUUUCCUUUGUUUAACUGCUGAGAAUCAGGCUAAAGUUACUGCCUUUCCUGCUUAAAAAGGAUGCUAGACUCCUCACAGAGGAGCCAAGAAAAAGUUUCUGAAGCGAGAUCUCUGACUGAAGACCAUCCAGCUAGAGGCUGAUCGUGGAGAACCUGUCCUGUCAUGAGCCAACCUAUUCUACUCACAGAGGUUUGACUUGGUAGACUGUUUUUCUCCCUGAGGGCUCUGAUCAGGAUGAGAGAACAAGAUGGAGAGUCAGACUUCCGAGUCCCUAGGUUCUCAGCACUUGACCCUCACAACGUGGCAUUCCUUCAGGCUCUGGCCUGACAAAACCAUGGAGUCCCCAGGAGAACCAGAUGUUCGGUCACUGCUGUAAGAAUGUGAGACUGAGAGGUCUACGAACACUCACUGAAUCUCGACAACCACAAACACCCAAUUCAGGGCACCGGAGCCUCUUCCCCAACCUUAGGGAUGAUAAAACCAAGACUUGGAGAGAGUUUGAGUUACCUGCCCAUGUUCAUAUAGCUGAAGUUGAAGACGCCAAAGGGGACAGGGGAAGAUAAAGCAGUUGCAAGCCCUGCUGCUGUCCCACACCAAUGAAGCAAGUCAGUGCAUAAGUGCAUGAGCUGCAGACACAUCUGGUGACCCUGCCUGGGCUUCGGACAAUAUAAAACAAUAUGGCUGCUGCUUUGCUUCUGCCUUCCAACUGUCAUACCAAAAAAAAAGAUUCUCUCAUGGCCCACCUUACCCUGUAACGUAUAAGGAAAAGAAUUCUGGAAAAUAUAGUUCAGUCUAGCCAAAUCUCUAUGGCUCCUCAUUAUCUCAUCUGUAUCCCCCAAACCCCUUAGAAGUUGUACCUUACACUGACCUCUCCUCAAGACUUCAAAAAUCACUUUCAACCAAUUGACAAAACACAUACAGUAUAUCAAGCAGGGUCCUGGAAGGAAACAGAUGGCACCCUCAAAUUAGGAAGACUUGAAG
rnacentral:lncRNA from 1 species